rnacentral:rRNA from 1 species
CACGGGGGGAGCAAGCGUUGUUCGGAAUCACUGGGCGUAAAGGGCGUGUAGGCGGUUCGGUAAGUGAGAUGUGAAAUCCUCCGGCUCACCCGGAGACCUGCAUCUCAAACUGCCGGACUAGAGUAUGGGAGAGGACAAGGGAAUUCCUGGUGUAGCGGUGAAAUGCGUAGAUAUCAGGAGGAACACCGGUGGUGUAGACGGCUUUCUGGACCGUAACUGACGCUGAGACACGAAAGCGUGGGUAGCAAACAGG